AUUUACUAGAUUUAUCAAGACUACAAAUCCAAUUUAUUCAACUAAUGCUGAUGCCUCAAACACAACCAGACUUAACGAGACCACUGACCCAACCUAUUCAACUAAUGCUGAUGGUAUGUUUUACUUUUUAUCUACAAAGUCUAUGUAGUAAGCUAGAAAAAUAAAAGCCAAAAUGUUUCAACUUUGUAGUGAUGCAAACUGUUACGGUCGUAGCGCAGCACGGUGUGCAUGAAUAAUGGUGCGAAUUUGUGUAAUGAAUGGAAGCGAGGUUGAAAAGGGGAAGCCGGGAGAAAUGGACAGGAAGAGAAAUGAAAUGUUCGUAUUUACAUAAUUUGUUGUAAUAUUAAAGUAUUUAUAGAGUAA
rnacentral:sRNA from 1 species